GUCCAGGGAAAAGGGCCGGCCCGAGGGAGAACCCCUCCUUUUCCCCCGACGGCCGCUCGCGGCCUCCACCGGGCUGUGUCGGGCCCGGCCGCACACUGUCCCGGGGACCGAGAACGCUGUGCGCCUAGCAGGUGGGAGGGAGAGCCAGGCGUCCCUAUCCGCCCCCCCCCACCCCCCGCAACCGAGGAAGGGCGCUCCAAGGGACGGAGCUGGCCGUCCGGGGGACUGCGGGAUACCGCUGGGGGCGCGUGUUCUUUCCUGGAGGAAAUAACCGGGGGUGCGGCGGGGCGGCGGCGAAGACUCUGGAUUUGACGCUGGUCGCAAUCGCGACCCCUCCGAGAAAUGGAAGCAGUCCAACGUUGGAGGCAGCACCUGCCGCUAAUAAUCUGUACAACUUUGAGGGUCGCGGUUUCUCUAGGGGACUCCGUUUCCGGAGGGGUCUGGUUCGCACCGCACAGAACCGGGGUGGUAAGAUCGAGAUGUCAGUGUCACGAACUGUUUGUCAAGCUGAAGCCGUCUUGGUUCCUACGAGGUGUGGACUGCCAGUGCGUGCUCCAGGCUGACUUCAUCUCUUCCCAUAAAGAUACGAUCGUAAGCGGUCGGGCUGGAUGAACUCAUUCUCGUCCCUGAUCCUCCUUUGGGCUACACUUCCUUCCACCCCGGACGCUCCCUAGGUGGGUUCCCGACGUUAGUAAAGGAAGGCUUCUGCUCCCCCUGGUGGUCCUAAAUGGAAAAGGCAGAAGUUUGGAUUCCACCUGCUAGUUGUAUACAAGAAAUGAAAAAGUUGGGGCACCUGGGUGGCUCAGUCUGUUAACUGUUGGACUUCGGCUCAGGUCAUGAUCUCGCACUCUGUGAGUUCGAGCCCCACAUCAGGCUCUGUGCUGACAGCUCAGAGCACAGAGCCUGCUUCAGAUUCUGUGUCUCCCUCUCUCUCUCCCUUCCCCAACUUGUGCUCUGUCUCUCUCGCUCUCA